UACGUAGGUGGCAAGCGUUGUCCGGAAUUAUUGGGCGUAAAGCGCGCGCAGGCGGUCCCUUAAGUCUGAUGUGAAAGCCCACGGCUCAACCGUGGAGGGUCAUUGGAAACUGGGGGACUUGAGUACAGAAGAGGAAAGCGGAAUUCCACGUGUAGCGGUGAAAUGCGUAGAGAUGUGGAGGAACACCAGUGGCGAAGGCGACUCUUUGGUCUGUAACUGACGCUGAGGCGCGAAAGCGUGGGGAGCAAACAGG
rnacentral:rRNA from 1 species